GCAAGUCUGGUGCCAGCAGCCGCGGUAAUUCCAGCUCCAAUAGCGUAUAUUAAAGUUGUUGAGGUUAAAAAGCUCGUAGUUGAACCUUGGGCCUAGCCGGCCGGUCCGCCUCACCGCGUGCACUGGCUCGGUUGGGCCUUUCCUUCUGGAGAACCGCAUGCCCUUCACUGGGUGUGUUGGGGAACCAGGACUUUUAC
rnacentral:rRNA from 1 species